GGACGGGAAGAUGGCAGAGGGGAGGGAGGCCUAGGCUCUCCUUCCCUCCCUCUCUCACACAGCUCCGGGUGGGGAGCAACACCUUCUCCGCGACGUGGAGCUUCGGAGAGUUCACUCACCCCACCCGCACGGUGUUGAAAAUACAUUUUGAGGACAUUCUGUGGAAAGCGGCCAGUGAAGGAGUGGAGAUUUGAGGUUUUGACUCGAGAGGCUUCGACGAGAAGAGGCAGAGGACGAGCUUCACUCCAAGUGAGACAGUGGCCUCAUCGUGGCAAAAGAGGGGACCAUGGACCAACAUAUCAGAAUGGGAAAGGAGAUAGAAAUUAAAAAGGCUGGCACAGUUCCCUUACAACAGUUUGCAAAACUUUGUGCAUACUCAACAGACCUUGAAAAAAAUUGAAUUCAAGGCUGUAGGGAGUGAAAAACUGAUUACAUUAUACUGCAGACAUCCCACCCUGCAAAAGCAAACACGAGGAAAUCUGCAGAUGCUGGAAAUUCAAGCAACGCACACAAAAAAUGCUGGUGGAAUGCAGCAGGCCAGGCAGCAUCAAUAGGAAGAAGCGCUGUCGACGUUUUGGGCCGAGACCCUUCGUCAGGACUAACUGACAGGAAAGAUAGUAAGAGAUUUGAAAGUUGGAGAAUGAUAGGAGAAGACCGAAGGGGGUGGGGUGAAGCUGAGAGCCAGAAAGGUGAUUGGCACCUAUCAUGAGGUGAUUAUAAAGCAUCCACACCAGGACACACCAGACUCAAGAAUAGUUACUUUCCCCAAGUAGUGAGGCUGAUCAACACCUCCACCCAUUAACCCACCCCUCCACACCCUCCACCAC